GACGAACGCUGGCGGCGUGCUUAACACAUGCAAGUCGAACGGAAAGGCCCUGCUUUUGUGGGGUGCUCGAGUGGCGAACGGGUGAGUAACACGUGAGUAACCUGCCCUUGACUUUGGGAUAACUUCAGGAAACUGGGGCUAAUACCGGAUAGGAGCUCCUGCUGCAUGGUGGGGGUUGGAAGGUUUCGGCGGUUGGGGAUGGACUCGCGGCUUACCAGCUUGUUGGUGGGGUAGUGGAUUACCAAGGCUUUGACGGGUAGCCGGCCUGAGAGGGUGACCGGCCACAUUGGGACUGAAAUACGGCACAGACUACUACGGGACGCAGCAGUGGGGAAUAUUGCACAAUGGGCGGAAGCCUGAUGCAGCAACGCCGCGUGCGGUGUGACGGCCUUCGGGUUGUAAUCCGCAUUCGCCUGUGACGAAGCGUGAGUGACGGUAAUGGGUAAAGAAGCACCGGCUAACUACGUG
rnacentral:rRNA from 1 species